GAUGAACGCUGGCGGCGUGCCUAAUACAUGCAAGUCGAGCGAACAGAUGAGGAGCUUGCUCCUCUGACGUUAGCGGCGGACGGGUGAGUAACACGUGGAUAACCUACCUAUAAGACUGGGAUAACUUCGGGAAACCGGAGCUAAUACCGGAUAAUAUAUUGAACCGCAUGGUUCAAUAGUGAAAGACGGUUUUGCUGUCACUUAUAGAUGGAUCCGCGCCGCAUUAGCUAGGUGGUAAGGUAACGGCUUACCAAGGCAACGAUGCGUAGCCGACCUGAGAGGGUGAUCGGCCACACUGGAACUGAGACACGGUCCAGACUCCUACGGGAGGCAGCAGUAGGGAAUCUUCCGCAACGGGCGAAAGCCUGACGGAGCAACGCCGCGUGAGUGAUGAAGGUCUUCGGAUCGUAAAACUCUGUUAUUAGGGAAGAACAAAUGUGUAAGUAACUAUGCACGUCUUGACGGUACCUAAUCAGAAAGCCACGGCUAACUACGUG
rnacentral:rRNA from 1 species